AGCUGCGGCUACGACACUAUCUGUUGGUGAUUUCUGCAAAGAUGGUGAAGCUCUCGCUCUUCUUCGUCCUGGUGAUGCUUGUUUCAGGUCCUUGCAGCAGCAACCGCAUACGUGCUGAUGCGCAAAAGUUGUGCGAAAAGAUCAUCGAACGACGCGGCUGCGAGUUCUACAAUUGCACGAGGCACUGUUCCGAGGAGUUCGGUUCGGUCAAGGCAAAAUGCAUUCGUAAUCCUAGCAAUCGCGGGUUUCACGCCUGCGCCUGCUACGUCCCUUGUUGACAUUGGUUUUGGAUUUGUGUUGGCCAUCUCUUAUUAGAGCUCUGUGGUCUUUGCUCAUGCCGGUUUUGAUAACGGAAAUAAAUUGUUGCCAAUGUUAAAGGAGUA